rnacentral:tRNA from 1 species
UCCCCUACGUUCUUGUAGCUUAUAAAAAGCAUGACACUGAAGAUGUCAAGAUGGCUGACACACACACCCAAGAAC